rnacentral:lncRNA from 1 species
AGUGAAUUUGCAUUCUAGUAUCUUUUUAGCUUAGAUCUUUUAUUAUUAACAAUUAUCAUCAGGAUGAUGCUUGAUUCUAAGUCUAAUUAGUAAUAGUUGAAUAUCAGUUCAAUGAGCAGUAAAAGAUGGUGAAUAAGGGUGCUAGUUUUCAAAUUUUGAAUGAUAGUAUUAUAUGCUUUUUCAUCUCCUAGUUUAGUUAAAUUAAUAGAAUGAUUCAUGAAAGUCAAUACUAUUAACUCACAUUAGAUUCAAAGAAGGCAUACAUGAUUUUCUAUGUAUAGAAUGAUUGAGUGAAAGAAAAUCUUUUAUGAGUGUAUGUAGGAAUGCGAGCAUAAAAUAAUUUCCCCAUCUUUUAUUAUCUCUUAGUGUGGGAAUGGUAAUUGUAUGUCAUUGGCUGACUUCUCUUCAUCACGAGACUGAUCAGAUCUGCUACCCCCGCUGCUCUAACUGCUGCUUUCAUUAGUGACUUCAUCAUCCCAGACUCUGCACUUUGACCGGGGAAUACUUUAAAAAAGAAACACAGCUUCUGCCCAAACGAGGUAAGGGACAAUCAUCAUCCCAAAGAUCCUUUCCUUGGUUUGAUUCAGAAAUUAAAAUAAGAUAUGGUUUCUUUUCUCAAAAUGAAGAUUUAUGAAAAGACUUUGUAAUUUUGGGUGGCUGUGCACCAUGAACUGAGUGACUAAGUUAUAAUAAUGAUAAUCAGAGUAAAAAUGAAACAGUUUCAGGCUGUGCCCAAUGCUGCAUGUCGAAGAAAGUGCAGAGAACCUCAUUGGUUCGUGCCCUUUGUUUUCCCCCUCUCUAUUUUUCUAUUUUUUUUUUUUAAUAUUUAUACAUUUUAACACAAAUGCUCGACUUAUGUUGACAUUGUUUAUAAAUUUGUAUAAAUGAGUUUGGUGAGAUCUUUUUCAUAUCUUUCUUUUUAGUGUUUGUGACAUAGAAAUGGUGAAGCACAUCCAGCCAUUAAACUUGAGAAGUUUGUUUCCCAAAAU